GAUCAUGGCUCAGGAUGAACGCUGGCGGCGUGCCUAACACAUGCAAGUCGAACGGGGUUAUUUUGGAAAUCUCUUCGGAGAUGGAAUUCUUAACCUAGUGGCGGACGGGUGAGUAACGCGUGAGCAAUCUGCUUUAGGAGGGGGAUAACAGUUGGAAACGACUGCUAAUACCGCAUAAGCCCACGGGUCGGCAUCGACCAGAGGGAAAAGGAGCAAUCCGCUUUGAGAUGGCCUCGCGUCCGAUUAG
rnacentral:rRNA from 1 species